rnacentral:misc_RNA from 1 species
GAUGAAGAACGUAGCGAAAUGCGAUAAGUAAUGUGAAUUGUAGAAUUCAGUGAAUCAUCGAAUCUUUGAACGCACAUUGCGCCCGCCAGCAUUCUGGCGGGCAUGCCUGUUCGAGCGUCAUUUCAACCCUCAAGCUCUGCUUGGUGUUGGGGCCCUACGGUUGACGUAGGCCCUUAAAGGUAGUGGCGGACCCUCUCGGAGCCUCCUUUGCGUAGUAACUAACGUCUCGCAUUGGGAUUCGGAGGGACUCUUGCCGUAAAACCCCCAAAUUUUCUAAUGGUUGACCUCGGAUCAGGUAGGAAUACCCGCUGAACUUAAGCAUAUCAAUAAGCGGAGGA